UACGUAGGUGGCAAGCGUUGUCCGGAUUUACUGGGCGUAAAGAGCGCGCAGGCGGUCGAGUAAGUCGAAUGUGAAAGCCCCCGGCUUAACUGGGGAGGGUCAUUCGAUACUGUUCGACUUGAAGGCAGGAGAGGGCAGCAGAAUUCCCGGUGUAGUGGUGAAAUGCGUAGAUAUCUGGAGGAACACCGGUGGCGAAGGCGGCAUCCUGGACCGACACUGACACUGAGGAGCGAAAGCCAGGGGAGCAAACGGG
rnacentral:rRNA from 1 species